GGAAAGUCGGGUUUCAAGCUUUAUAAAAUAUCAUCUCACAGUAUUUUACAAUGGGAAUUUGAUCUUCAUAGCAGAGGGGAAAAUGAAGGCUCUACUUGCAUUGGUCAUUGUUCUGGGUGUUUUCGUAAAUGUAUUCGCUCAGUUUGGUAACAGUGUGCAGUUAGCCCAGGUGCAGUUCUAUGAGCCUAUUUAUGCAACACAGGGAAGUGGAUCGGGAAAUCUCUUUGGAGGAAAUAAUGGAUUUGCCGGAUCAACUAUGGGAGGCAUCUUGCCAAUCAUUCUUGCCAUCCUUUUGUUAUUAAUUUUUUCACCUAUGGUGAUUGCUUCAUCCACAAGCGACGAUCUUUUUUCUGAUAACGAUGCCAGAUAAAGGAAUGGUGGAAGUGAAAGUGAUUUCAUUCUUAUCACUGUCUGUGAUAUAUAAAAAAUAAACAACAUUAAAACACAGUUUUUCCCCCAAA